UCUCUGAACACGUGUCUCAAACAAAAAAAGAGUCUGAACAUAGAAGCUUCACCUGGACUCCCCACGGCACUGCGCCGCUGUCUCCCCGAAGGCCGAAGCUUAGGGAUGGAGGGGCGUACCCUACUCCGCGACCAGGCGGCACCCAGCGCGUCCGCCCCCACUGGCCGCUCCGCCUCGCAGGCGACGGGGGACGAGGCCGCGGCUGAAGUCGGUGAGCGCGCGCCGCCGCCGCAGCCCCGUUCGUUUUCUAAAUCUCUCUCGAUCUAGGCCUCCUGGCUGGCUCCUGAACUGCACCCCCAAUUAUCAAAAAGGAGCUGUGUCUCAUGCAAUUCAAAGGAUUUACAGGCCAUGUCAGAAGAUUCUGCUAAAACGUUGCUAGAGCAGGUGACUGGCUGGGAGGUGAAAAAUGAGGGUGACAUUCUGAAGUUGCACAGGGCAUGGAAGGUGAAGAGCUUUGCGAAAGGGCUUGAGUUCUUUCAGCUUGUUGCUGCUGUUGCGGAGGAAGAAGGGUCUCCUUUCUUUUGCUCUGUUCUUCGGAUUCACGUUGUCUCGUUGUUCAGAAUUCAGUUUUUUAAAUGUCCCCUGUUCUCACCGCAUUGGAAUUUAACAAUAUCAUUGGCACAUACGGACCACAGCAAGUCGAUGCACUGCUUACUACUCCCUAUCUAUCAAAACACAAGACGCUUUUUGAUACAAAGGAAGUAUCAAAAAACGUCUUAUAUUUUGAUACGGAUGGAGUAUUAUCAAAGAGGAGUUAUUCACUUCCUGUCCUACAGUCCUAAAUCCCCACUGUAAUAUUUAACAAUAUCAUUUGGCACAUACAGGCCGCAACAAGUAAAUGCUGCUAACUAUUAUAUAUGUUCAGUAUGCCAGUAUCUUCACUUCUUCACAGUGAUAUUAAUUGUUUGUGUUGUUAACUGGACUCCACAUAAUAGACAGCAUAGCUACCCAGCCCUCACCAAACCUGGCACCUCCUAAACUGUUAUGUUAUCAACGGACGACUCCAAGCUUUCAGAAGAUAUAUUUCCCCUCAUAUAUCCAUGGUGUCAUAAUCAAACUACUUUUGUUCAAACUUUGCUACCUUAUGUGUUGCAUUUGGUAUUGCAGUUAUAUUUAGCAUGAUGAGAGGCCGUAUUUCUACAUUUCUAAACGAAAAUACCCCUGAAAUUGGCCAAGAGAUUUUGUAUUUCACCCAGAAUCCAACAAAUUUCUUGGCACUUUUUUUUUGUUUCAGUAACAAUCUUGGCAAAUUAUGUUUAAAACUUUAAAUGGAUAUGCUUUUCCAGGUCACCACCCAGAUCUUCAUCUUGUUGGUUGGAAUAAUGUGAAAAUUGAUGUGUGGACUCACUCAGUCAGUAGGCGCUUGAUGCCUAUCAGCAGUUGGCCAUUGUCAUGAUAAAACUUAUUUUCGUUUAGGGAAAUCCAAUCAACUUAAAUGAACAAGAACGAGCCAUACAAUACGGAGUGAAAAUAGUGGUUUAACAGAUAAUGAUUUCAUCCUUGCUGCAAAGAUCAAUGAACUCAAGCUAGGAGGCCUUUUGAGCAAGAAAAAAUCUACUGCCCAGGAGUAGCUCUCGUGAAUCAAAAGAUAUAUUUUUGUAUUUUGUGACAAUUGCAUAUGCCACUCCAAAAGCAGGAUUCGUCCAGUAUAUAUUCUGGGAUAAAUGAUGGUUUGGCGAUGCUAUUGGUUCUUCAUGAGAAGUUCAAGGAGGAUUUGAUAUUAUUUUAUUGUUAAUGAGUCAUGCCAGUAAGCUUUCUGUAUUUGUUCGCCGUGAGGAGCAAUGGGGCAUUGCACACUUACCUAUGUAUACUGCUACCUGAUUAUCGUUGGUCUUUUGUAUAAAGGCCUUGCUAUCAUUAUGUAUGGUCCUUCUUCCCUAAUGUGUAUUAUGAAUGGUCUUUUGACCUGUGGAAUGUAUUCCUAAUCCUGAUC